GUUACAGCAGCCGCGGUAAUACGUAGGUGGCAAGCGUUGUCCGGAUUUACUGGGCGUAAAGCGCCCGCAGGCGGCUUGGCAAGUCUGAGGUGAAAUCUCCCGGCUCAACUGGGAGGGUGCCCCGGAAACUGCCAGGCUCGAGGCAGGGAGAGGGAUGUGGAAUUCCCGGUGUAGUGGUGAAAUGCGUAGAUAUCGGGAGGAACACCAGUGGCGAAGGCGGCAUCCUGGCCCUGUCCUGACGCUCAGGGGCGAAAGCGUGGGGAGCAAACCGGAUUAGAAACCCUUGUAGUCC
rnacentral:rRNA from 1 species